GUACCAGUCCCAUCUUAUAGUUUCGAUAUGCGAUAUGGUACAAGACAGCAAGAUGUACCAAGUAUCGGUACAAAACAAGAUUGCAUACCAGUUCCAUAUUGGUACGGUAUGAUACAGACUGGAACAACGAGCCUUUCUUUGGCAUUUCUAGAAGUGUGUAUAAAAUAACUUAUAAGUCGUAAUAGACGAGCAUAAGCAUGGAUAAAACAAACAAGUGUGGGAAAUACAUGUGUGGGAAUAAAAGUUAAGGGAAACUCAGGCAAGCCCUAAUAUUGACAUGGGCAGUGAAACCAAGGGAUGAAAAUUCAUUCUUUCAAUUUUUCUUUUCCUUUUUUUUUGUUUGUUUUUUGAGGUGGGGUGCAAGGUGAAGAGGAACUAAUAUAACAUAAAUUAGGUUGAGUCUGGGAGGGCUUAGCAACUGAAUCCCCCUCCUUCAAACAACUCCCCAAGUCACUCCUAAACCUUGCUCCUUAUUUCUUCCAUGAUGUUCCUCUUAAUUCAAUCAUCUUAUAUUGCUCUGUUAUGCUAUAUAAAAAGAUCAGCCUCCAAUUUGAUCGAAUCAUGUAUUACUAUAUCAAUAGUUAUAUCUGUGCUUAUUGAAAGUACAACAACAAAAUGAUUUUUUUUUACGGUAGUUUGUGAUAUGGUUGCUUCAUGAUCGUAAUCUUUUUAGGAGCUUCACUUCUCCAUGCUACAUUCUCUCUAGGAAGCUAUUCAAUUUUUGUGUGAGAUGAUCUUGUAUGAUUAUAUGAAAUCUAAUUACUUUGUGGUGAUUGAUUUCUAAGUGAAGAGGCACCACCUAGAGGUUUACAAGUCAUGUAAGCUGAAGCAAGCAUAAGUGCAAGUGAUUAGCACUAAGGAUUUGCAAAAACGUAGGACUUCGGAUGCUUGAGCAUAGAAGUCAGAAACAAUGUUGAUUAUGAGCUGAAAAGUCUUCUGCUGCCUUGAGAAGGUUACAAUUCCAAAGCAGGAUAAAAUAUGCAACAAUAAGUAGAUUGAUUGAACAUUGGAAAGAAAGAUAAUCGUACUCAAUCGGCAUGCUAUACAAAACGUAGCUUCCGUGUGAUCACUGCCAUGGCUUGUGGAGGUGUCAUUUAUUGGACUCCUUGAAAU
rnacentral:lncRNA from 1 species